rnacentral:tRNA from 1 species
GGAAAGUUGGCAGAGUGGUCGAUUGCGCUGGUCUAGAAAACCAGUGAUCCUUUAGGAUUCGGGAGUUCGAAUCUCUCACUUUCCG